UACGGGGGGGCAAGCGUUGUUCGGAAUUACUGGGCGUAAAGGGCUCGUAGGCGGCCAACUAAGUCGGACGUGAAAUCCCUCGGCUUAACCGGGGAACUGCGUCCGAUACUGGCAGGCUUGAAUCCGGGAGAGGGAUGUGGAAUUCCAGGUGUAGCGGUGAAAUGCGUAGAUAUCUGGAGGAACACCGGUGGCGAAGGCGGCAUCCUGGACCGGCAUUGACGCUGAGGCGCGAAAGCCAGGGGAGCAAACGGG
rnacentral:rRNA from 1 species